AACAUCGCGCACCUGCGGGAACCUGCGGAGGGAUCAUUACCGAGUGUGAACCCCCCCGUAAAAAAGAGGGGUUACCUCCCGUCCUUUGCUGGGAACCCCUUUCCAACUUGGAAGGAGGUUGUUUUCAGACCCUUCUGCUUCGGUGGGGUAACCCACCGGAACAACCUCAAAAAUAUUCUCAAUUCAAAACCGUUCAGUCCGAGAACUUUUUUGAAAAGCGAAAAAACUUUUAACAACGGA
rnacentral:misc_RNA from 1 species